UACGGAGGGGGCUAGCGUUGUUCGGAAUUACUGGGCGUAAAGCGCACGUAGGCGGCUUUGUAAGUUAGAGGUGAAAGCCCGGAGCUCAACUCCGGAACUGCCUUUAAGACUGCAUCGCUUGAACGUCGGAGAGGUAAGUGGAAUUCCGAGUGUAGAGGUGAAAAUUCGUAGAUAUUCGGAAAGAAACACCAGUGGGCGAAGGCGA
rnacentral:rRNA from 1 species